GAUCCUGGCUCAGGAUGAACGCUGGCGGCGUGCCUAACACAUGCAAGUCGAGCGAUCUCUUCGGAGAGAGCGGCGGACGGGUGAGUAACGCGUGGGUAACCUGCCCUGUACACACGGAUAACAUACCGAAAGGUAUGCUAAUACGGGAUAAUAUAUAAGAGUCGCAUGACUUUUAUAUCAAAGAUUUUUUCGGUACAGGAUGGACCCGCGUCUGAUUAGCUUGUUGGCGGGGUAACGCCCACAAGG
rnacentral:rRNA from 1 species